GCCAACUUGUGAAAUGGGACAUGGACAUCUACAGUAAUUCUGUUCCCCGUAUCAGUGGAAGAAUUACACGAUACCACAUAGGAGGGGAGUAUGGCAGCCACUUAUAGUUGGUGUGUGAACGGCACUGUAUACGGGAGACUUGGAGUCAAAUAAGAGGUCCCCGAAAGCUGCGAUAUUCUCACCACACCGAAAUGAAAUAUGUUCUGUAUAUCCUGAGACUUGAAUUACUGCCAUCUCCUUAGGGAUGAAUUUUGAUCUCACUACAUCCAAUCCCACAAUGAAGCAAAGAGAAGGCAAAAGCACGAGAAGGAGUCUAUACGCCAUUCUGGAAGUCAUCGUGAUUUAAAGGGCAAUAUAUUCAUUAAUUAACAUCUGCAGAAAAUAGUCAAAGUUAAACCAUAGCAAAAGCCCGAGCGAUGCUCCGCCGGGGAUUUGGGCAGCAUGUGACAACUCUAUACAAUGUAGAGCCUGGGCACAUUUACUGCAGAACGUGGAGUGGUUGUGGAUUUAGAUUUUCCAUUAAAGUCAUUACUGUAGACA